UACGGAGGGUGCAAGCGUUAUCCGGAUUCACUGGGUUUAAAGGGUGCGUAGGUGGGUUGGUAAGUCAGUGGUGAAAUCUCCGUGCUUAACAUGGAAACUGCCAUUGAUACUACCGGUCUUGAAUUAUCUGGAGGAUAGCGGAAUAUGUCAUGUAGCGGUGAAAUGCUUAGAUAUGACAUAGAACACCAAUUGCGAAGGCAGCUAUCUACAGGUUGAUUGACACUGAGGCACGAAAGCGUGGGGAUCAAACAGG
rnacentral:rRNA from 1 species